UGCCCCCUGAUAAUUAAUUAAAGGGCUGCAGUAUUUUGACUGUACAAAGGUAGCAUAAUCAUUAGUCAUUUAAUUGAUGACUUGUAUGAAAGAUUUGAUGAGAUAUAAACUGUCUUAAGUUUAAAUUAUAAAAUUUAAUUUUUUAGUUAAAAAGCUAAAAUAUAUUAAAAAGACGAGAAGACCCUAUAGAGUUUUAUUAAUUUAUAAAUUAAUUAAUUUAUUUUAAUUUAUAUUAAUAAUUUAUAUUUUAAUUUUGUUGGGGUGAUAGAAAAAUUUAAAUAACUUUUUUUUUUCAUUUACAUUAAUAUAUGUUUAUUUGAUCCAUUAUUGAUGAUUAAAAGAAAAAAUUACCUUAGGGAUAACAGCGUAAUUUUUUUUUUUAGUUCAUAUAAAAAAAAAAGUUUGCGACCUCGAUGUUGGAUUAAAAUAAAAUUUAAAUGUAGAAGUUUAAAAUUUUUG
rnacentral:rRNA from 1 species